rnacentral:rRNA from 1 species
CGGCUGAGAACUCUAGGGAGACUGCCGGUGACAAACCGGAGGAAGGUGGGGACGACGUCAAGUCAUCAUGGCCCUUACGACCAGGGCUACACACGUGCUACAAUGGCCGGUACAGAGGGCUGCAAUAUCGCGAGAUGGAGCUAAUCCCACAAAACCGGUCGUAGUCCGGAUUGGAGUCUGCAACUCGACUCCAUGAAGUCGGAAUCGCUAGUAAUCGUGAAUCAGAAUGUCACGGUGAAUACGUUCCCGGGCCUUGUACACACCGCCCGUCACACCAUGGGAGUGGGUUGCUCCAGAAGUGGCUAGUCUAACCUUCGGGAGGACGGUCACCACGGAGUGAUUCAUGACUGGGGUGAAGUCGUAACAAGGUAGCCGUAGGGGAACCUGCGGCUGGAUCACCUCCUUAAACGA